AACGAACGCUGGCGGCAGGCUUAACACAUGCAAGUCGAGCGCCCCGCAAGGGGAGCGGCAGACGGGUGAGUAACGCGUGGGAAUCUACCCAUCUCUACGGAAUAACGCAUGGAAACGUGUGCUAAUACCGUAUACGUCCUUCGGGAGAAAGAUUUAUCGGAGAUGGAUGAGCCCGCGUUGGAUUAGCUAGUUGGUGGGGUAAAGGCCUACCAAGGCGACGAUCCAUAGCUGGUCUGAGAGGAUGAUCAGCCACACUGGGACUGGGACACGGCCCAGGCUCCUACGGGAGGCAGCAGUGGGGAAUAUUGGACAAUGGGCGCAAGCCUGAUCCAGCCAUGCCGCGUGAGUGAUGAAGGCCCUAGGGUUGUAAAGCUCUUUCACCGGUGAAGAUAGUGACGGUAACCGGAGAAGAAGCCCCGGCUAACUUCGUGCCAGCCGCCGCCGUAACAC
rnacentral:rRNA from 1 species